rfam:Prunus persica cultivar Lovell chromosome G1, whole genome shotgun sequence.
AUACCUUUCUCGGCCUUUUGGCUAAGAUCAAGUGUAGUAUCUGUUCUUAUCAGUUUAAUAUCUGAUACGUGGACCAAUGGUUCACACGAUAUUAAAUUAAUUUUUUUGCGGGGAGAGUCCACAACAGUAGCUUGCUAUUGGGGCUCUCAAGCGUCGCCCAAGUGUUGCAGUACUGCAUGGGCCUGGCGUACCCCAC